AACCUGGCGGUAGGAUCAUUA
rnacentral:rRNA from 1 species